rnacentral:sRNA from 1 species
GUCAGCACCCCGCUCUGAAGAGACGGGGCUUCAAGCCUCUAACUUUAGAUAGCUGACCAGCCUGAGCCUAACGGCUACGUUAUCGGUAAGUGUUAAAGACCCACCAAUGGAUGCGAAGCUAGUCCGUUGCUCUGGA